rnacentral:rRNA from 1 species
GUGAAUCAUCGAGUCUUUGAACGCACCUUGCGCUCCUUGGUAUUCCGAGGAGCAUGCCUGUUUGAGUGUCAUUAAAUUCUCAACCUUACCAGUUUUCACGAAUUGGUAAUGGCUUGGACUUGGGGGUUUUUUGCUGGCUUCGUCAAGAGGUCUGCUCCCCUUAAAUGUAUUAGCCGGUACCCUUGUGGAGUCGUCUAUUGGUGUGAUAAUUAUCUACGCCGUGGGCCUUCACUUUAAAUGGAUUGUACUGCUUCUAACCGUCCGUUAAGUCGGACAAAUAAUGACAAUUUGACCUCAAAUCAGGUGAGGUCUACCCGCUGAACUUAAGCAUAUCAAUAAGCGGAGG